AACGAACGCUGGCGGCAGGCUUUACACAUGCAAGUCGAACGGGUAGUAAUACCAGUGGCAGACGGGUGAGUAACACGUGGGAACGUACCUUUUGGUUCGGAAUAGCUCAGGGAAACUUGGGAUAAUACCGGAUAAGCCCUUACGGGGAAAGAUUUAUCGCCGAAAGAUCGGCCCGCGUCUGAUUAGCUAGUUGGUAGGGUAACGGCCUACAAAGGCGACGAUCAGUAGCUGGUCUGAGAGGAUGAUCAGCCACAUUGGGACUGAGACACGGCCCAAAAUCCUACGGGAGGCAGCAGUGGGGAAUAUUGGACAAUGGGGGCAACCCUGAUCCAGCCAUGCCGCGUGAGUGAUGAAGGCCCUAGGGUUGUAAAGCUCUUUUGUGCGGGAAGAUAAUGACGGUACCGCAAGAAUAAGCCCCGGCUAACUUCGUGCCAGCAGCCGCAGUAAUAC
rnacentral:rRNA from 1 species